UGUAAACAAAGAAAGUCAAGAGAAAACACAGAGUUAGGGUAAUAGGCGAUAUGAGAGAGACUCUCUGGAGGGGAAAAGAGGACAAAGGAACUAGGGCACGAUUAGGACUCAAAAAUUUGGGGAUUUGGAAAACAAGAGAGAGAAAAAGGCGUAGAAAGGAGAAGAGGAAGAGUCGAAAGAUUCGAUUGGAGGACCAUCUCAAGAGGUGCCAAAUAUCUCAGGUCGGUCUCGACUUGCUCAAGGUUCUUCUUUCAGAAAGGAUACAAUCAUGGAAACGUAUGGAACUGCAAAAUUCUUGGAUGGAAAGGGACAGCAGGGCACAGAAUUGCAGCGGUGAAGAACUCGAUGGCGUUGGUUGCUCCCCUCGAGAACGUUUCAGAUAGGAUUACACGGAGAACACCAAUAGCCAGUUUUACAUGAUAAACCAGUUGAGUCAUGAGGCGUGCUCUGCUACAAUGUGGAGAUUUCAAGAUUUGGGGGAAGUUCCUUCUUUCUCACUUGCAAGCAUUUGCAUGCAUUGGUGGUUGAUUGUUUGGGUUAACCAUUACUUCAUGCAUUCGUUCCUUAUUUAUACUGUUAUGUGGAGAUGUUUUGUUAUAUGCUUCAAACACUUCCUUUGUUCCUACGACCUCUGCUUUAAGCUG